UACGAAGGGGGCUAGCGUUGCUCGGAAUCACUGGGCGUAAAGCGCACGUAGGCGGGUCUUUAAGUCGGAGGUGAAAUCCUGGAGCUCAACUCCAGAACUGCCUUCGAUACUGAGGAUCUCGAGUCCGGGAGAGGUGAGUGGAACUGCGAGUGUAGAGGUGAAAUUCGUAGAUAUUCGCAAGAACACCAGUGGCGAAGGCGGCUCACUGGCCCGGUACUGACGCUGAGGUGCGAAAGCGUGGGGAGCAAACAGG
rnacentral:rRNA from 1 species